AUUUGUCUUCAUGUAUCAAUAUGAAUGUGUUCGCUAAUCUGUUGACCUUCCUCGGUCAAGAUAAGUUCCAACAAUUUUUACGAGAAACACCAUUUGAAUUUUUUUUUAUGAUUUACAUAACAUAAAAAUUCAAUGUCAAUUGUUGCGCCAUAGUUUUCUUCUUGAAACUGAAAAUGACAGAGAUAACAUGUUUGUUAUCAACGUAAAUGGUGCAGAGUUACACUUUGGAUUAAAAGAGUUUGUCGCUGUAACCGGUCUGAAAUCUGGACCAAUUUAUUAUUUUGUUUCUGACCCGUUUAUUUCAAGUAGACUUAUCUCAGAAAAUUUUGGGGAUAUGGACAAAGUCCCCAAGUCAAAUUUUUACCACAAGUUUAGAUUGGAAAACUUUUUGAAAGAGGAUGACCGUUUAAAAAUCGGAAUGCUGUACUUCAUUCCGUCAUUUCCGACUGCUUCAGACCCUUCAAAAACAACAAUUCCUAAAUUAUAUUUUGAUUUAGUUGAGUCUGGCCAGUAUGCCACGUUUUCAUGGGGGGAAUGAGUGUUUUAAUUUAACACUUAAAGCGUGCAGUUAUAAGUUAUAAAAAAAUCCUUCGUCAUUCAAGUUUAGCCAGUUCCAUAUAGCCUUGUUGGUAUGGUUUAUGAGUGUUGUCAUCCAUUUGAAAACACAAUUGUUAUCCAUGCUUCAGAUCGCACACCGCGUAUCCUGAACUGGAAGACAACAAAUGAUGUUAUUUUUUGAUGAUUUGAAGAAAAUGAUUUCAAAACACAUGACAAUCAGCAAAAGUUCAGAAAUAUAAUUUUUACUGAAGAAGAGUUAAAUGUCAUGGAUGAAACCAUUUUAAAUCAAUCUCUCAGUCACUAUGAUUCUGAAGAGCAAGGAAUCUCGGAAAAGCAGGGCGUUGAUUUUGAACAAAAAUACGUAGAGUUGAAAGCAAAAAUUGCAGAGAUGAAGCUCAAAAGUCAACUGGUGAUUUUUUCAACGCCGACUUAUCUGGAUCAUCAACUUCAAAAUCACCAACUUUGGAUGAUUACCCUGAUUUUACUAUGACACAAAUCAUUGCACUUGAUCCGAUUCUAAACGCCACCACAACACCAGAUGUGCAACAAAGACACACGAACCCCAGAAAAUAUGAAUUUUCUCCUUAUAUUCGAUGUCGAAAGCCGAAAGCAGUUCAAAAAGAGUUCCAAUAUUCUUCCCGAUCAAACAUCCAUUCGCAUGUCAAAAUGAUUUUGACGUUCCAGCUUAUAUGAUUGACCAGUUCAACCAAUGGGUUAUGAAAGAUGUUUCAAAUAGGCGUGACAGGAAAGCAGCAUAUACAAAGGUGAAAAAUACCUUUCAUCCUCAAAUGGUCUUUGGCGUUGCCAAAAUCGCAGAAAAGGAUUUUUUUCACAUAAUGAGUCAACAGGGCAGACCUUAGGAGGACGGGCAUAUUAAUACAAUUAUGUGUUAUCUUCGAAAGAAGGCAAAAUACUCUCAAACAUCAAUUUCAUACAACACUGUUGACUGUUGGUUUAUAACGUGGAUUGAUAACAUUGAGAAAUAGUGGAGACUGUCAGAUUGUAACUUGAGAUCAAUUGCCCCCGACCACGACGUUGGUCAGUGCAUUAGAGGAUUUAAGCUGCUUGCUAACAUUGCUUGGGACAGAAUCGACGAAGUCCUUAUCUCUGUCAAUGUUUCUGAGAAAUUUUAUUGGUUUCUUGUUGUACUCCGAAUCAAACAUAGAUGUCUAUAUGUAUACGAUUCGAUGAGUGACGGAGUUGUUCAUAACAAAUUAGUUAAAGAAGUUGUUGAUAAACUUGCAACCAUGAUACCAUUAUUUCUGACAAGUACAGGGUUUUAUGGUAAAAGACUUGAUAUAUAUGCAAACAAUAUCCCUGAAUAUCAAAACAAGUCUGAACCCGAACUUCUCGAAAUCAAACAUGUAACAGAUGUUCCUCAACAAGAAGACAAUUCCAAAUGUAUGUCACAUUACUUUGACACUAUGCAAAAUCAAAGAAUAAAGAGGGAGCAAUAAGCGACAGUGAAGUUACAGGUACAGUUACCAGCAAGUAUGGUGGACCUCGCAUGCAAAAAGAACAAGUUAUGGACACCACCAAUUAUCCCACUCCAAGACCACGAAAUAGGAAAUAGAAAAAGUUCAGUGCACACUUUGCAUUCUUUUUGAACUUCUUGUUUUUUUUUAACAAUAUAACAAUUUAUGUUAUUUUCCAGUUUUUUUAUUAAUAUGAAUUUCAGUUUUGUUUAUAUAAUUUAUCAAUGUUACCCUUAUUUUUGUAUGAACUGAUUACUACGUUUAUACAU